rnacentral:rRNA from 1 species
GAUGAACGCUAGCUACAGGCUUAACACAUGCAAGUCGCAGGGUAACAUGAGGAAAGCUUGCUUUCCUUGAUGACGACUGGCGCACGGGUGAGUAACGCGUAUCCAACCUUCCCAUAACUACGGGCUAACCCGUUGAAAGACGGCCUAAUACCGUAUGAUAUCGUUUGCUGACAUCAAAUAACGAUUAAAGGUUUAGCGGUUAUGGAUGGGGAUGCGUCUGAUUAGCUUGUUGGCGGGGUAACGGCCCACCAAGGCGACGAUCAGUAGGGGUUCUGAGAGGACGGUCCCCCACGUUGGAACUGAGACACGGUCCAAACACCUACGGGAGGCAGCAGUGAGGAAUAGUAGUCAAUGGGCGAGAGCCUGAACCAGGCAAGUAGCGUGCAGGACGACGGCCCUAUGGGUUGUAAACUGCUUUUAUGUGGGGAUAAAGUGCGUGACGUGUCAUGCAUUGCAGGUACCACAUGAAUAAGGACCGGCUAAUUCCGUG